rnacentral:sRNA from 1 species
GCCGGGUGUGGUGGUGCACGCCUGUAAUCCCAGCAGCUCAGGAGGCUGAGGCAGGAGGAUCAUGAGUUCAGAGCCAGCCUCAGCAACAACCAAGGCCCUAAGCAACUCAGUGAGACCCUGUCUCUA